UACGUAGGGGUGCAAGCGUUGUCCGGAAUUAUUGGGCGUAAAGAGCUCGUAGGCGGUCUGUCGCGUCGGCUGUGAAAUCCCGGGGCUCAACCCCGGGCCUGCAGUCGAUACGGGCAGACUAGAGUGCGGUAGGGGAGACUGGAAUUCCUGGUGUAGCGGUGAAAUGCGCAGAUAUCAGGAGGAACACCGGUGGCGAAGGCGGGUCUCUGGGCCGUAACUGACGCUGAGGAGCGAAAGCGUGGGGAGCAAACAGG
rnacentral:rRNA from 1 species